GACGAACGCUGGCGGCGUGCUUAACACAUGCAAGUCGAACGGAAAGGCCCUGCUUUUGUGGGGUGCUCGAGUGGCGAACGGGUGAGUAACACGUGAGUAACCUGCCCUUGACUUUGUGAUAACUUCAGGAAACUGGGGCUAAUACCGGAUAUGAGCUCCUGCUGCAUGGUGGUGGUUGGAAAGUUUCGGCGGUUGGGGAUGGACUCGCGGCUUAUCAGCUUGUUGGUGGGGUAGUGGCUUACCAAGGAUUUGACGGGUAGCCGGCCUGAGAGGGUGACCGGCAACAUAGGGACUGAGAUACGGCGCAGACUCGUAAGGGAGGCAGCAGUGGGGAAUAUUGCACAAUGGGCGGAAGCCUGAUGCAGCAACGACGCGUGCGGGAUGACGGCCUUCGGGUUGUAAACCGAUUUCGCCUGUGACGAAGCGUGAGUGACGGUAAUGGGUAAAGAAGCACCGGCUAACUACGUG
rnacentral:rRNA from 1 species